GGGCGGUGGUGAUUGUGGAGAUGGUAGUGGUGGCGGGGGUGGUUGGUGUGGCGGUUACGAUGCCGGUGAUGGUGGUGAUGGUUGUGGUGGUUGUCAAUACCAUAUUUCGUCCGGAUUAAUUUUCUUUGGCUUUCUUGCAUUUUGUCACAUGUUUUAGUAUUUAUUUACUUUUUUAUUUUUUUAUUUAUUUUUUAUUUAUUUACCCUUAUUUUAUCUUUUUUUAUAUCCUUACUUUUCUUCUUAGAAUUUUUUUUUUAAUUUUCGUUUUUAUUUUCAUUUUUAUCUUUUAUUUUAA
rnacentral:lncRNA from 1 species